UACGUAGGGUGCGAGCGUUAAUCGGAAUUACUGGGCGUAAAGCGUGCGCAGGCGGUUUUGUAAGACAGGCGUGAAAUCCCCGAGCUUAACUUGGGAAUGGCGUCUGUGACUGCAAGGCUAGAGUGUGUUAGAGGGGGGUGGAAUUCCGCGUGUAGCAGUGAAAUGCGUAGAGAUGCGGAGGAACACCGAUGGCGAAGGCAGCCCCCUGGAGCAAUACUGACGCUCAUGCACGAAAGCGUGGGGAGCAAACAGG
rnacentral:rRNA from 1 species